rnacentral:lncRNA from 1 species
AUUCUAGGCAGUGGGGAUGCAACGGUGAAGCCGAGGACAAGGCCCCCAUGCGAAGGAAACAGGGAGCAGAUCUGCAGAGAUGAAAUGCCAGGGUUGGCCGGGAAUUCCAUACCCGACCUGAAUCCAUAUCUACCGGACCCCACAUCUGCCGUCCGACCCAAUGAGGGAGAUAAUAGUUGGCACCGAUGCUCUUUCCUCAUGAUCACAAAAUGGCUAUUACCGUUAUGAACGUACAUCUUUAUGCCACGAUCUCCAGGAGUAGAGAGAAGAAGAGAAAUGGAGUGGAGUGGUUAAGAGCAGUGAAUCUGAAGCCUGAUCGCUUGAGGUUGAAUCCUGGCUAGCCCAAUGACCUUGGCCAAGUUCCUAAACCUCGGUGGUUCUCUCUUGCUCUUUGCACCUAGGGAUAACGGUGGAAUGGCCCAUGACUUCUUUAUGAGGUCAGAUACGCUUUAACAUCUUGAGCCUUUCAAAGUGCUUCCCUCAGUCUGGACUGAAGCCUGACCAACACUGGCAGAGAUGGGCCUUUUGGGAAAAUGACAGCGAAAGUCUCACGGACGCAGACUGAAAGAAGUCAAGGCUGCUUUUCUGUCCUUCCUAUCAUGUUGUCUGGCUUAGAUUUUGGUUAGGAAAUUUUAGUUAGAACCAAAAUCAGUUCUGAGUCAGUGGAUUGGGCAUUUCUGAACCUCCCAUGCCUCUGUAAAAUGUGGUUAAUAAUAGCAUCACAUUUAAAGAUUAAUUUAUACAGUGCAUUUAAGAGUGUUUAGAACCAUACGGUAAGUUCUAAACAGUAAAGAGGAAGCACUGGUUUUCCCUACACAUUAUUCCAGAAGAAAGAGGGAUGUUCUGAGAUGGAGAUGAGAGAAUGAGCUAAAGGAUGUACCACUUACCUAAGGCCAGGAGGCAAGUCCUGGAGGAUGGAACUUAGAGGGUGUUUGGCUGACCCAGCCCAUCCAUCUAACUGGGGCGGCCACAUAGUUUUGGUGAAAAGCGCGUGAGAGUGGGAUCUUUGGUAAAUGGGGACUGAGACAUCAGUCCUGAAGGGUUGCUAGAUUAGCGAACUAGUGGAUAAAGCAUGUGAUUGGAACUUGGCACAUAGUAGGGGCUGGAUAAACAGUGCCAAUAAUAAUAGCCUUCUCUUACCACAGCUGGACCCCUUCCUCAGAGUGCUCUGAAUUCAGAGCCUUCCUCAAGCUAAGGAAAUGGCAGUUUGCUUGAAUACAAUGGUCUUUUUAAGGCAGCUCAGAUGUUUAUCUUAUUCUAAUAUUUACCCUUUUGAAUAGGAUUUUCGGGUGGCUUAUUUUUUAUUGCUCUAGGGAGUGGGGUUACACAGUGUUAAGCUUAAUAUCAACCUUUAAGUGAAAAAUGGAUAAAACUGAGAGAAAACCCGCUUCUGACCCAGGGGAGAAAAAGGCUCUGGUAAAAUCUGGCCUGGAUUCUUCUCCACAUCACCUUAGGGCCAGGGAGCCCAGGGGAAUACCUGGAAGUGGUUCAGAUUGGUUUGAACAUCUAUAAAGGUUUAGCAGGAACCCUCUCCAGUCCAAUGGCCAGGAGCAUCUGGAAUGUUCUAACAUCUGAUUGCCUAUUGGCAAUGGUGAUUUAUCCUAAGCCCAGAUAAAUUGCUCUGGAUUGAACCAGAGGUCACACCUCUCACUGCCAUGUGGUCUUAGGUCUGGCCAGCCUUCCAAUUUAAGUCUAAGUUAAAUCCUUCAUCAUUAAUUUUUUUUCCAUUUUGGCUAAAAUCAUCUUCAGGAAAUAGGACUUAAUGAUAACAGUGUCUUCAAGUAAGAAGGACAAUGACCAAAUAAGCCCUGUGGGUGUAGGAAUGUGUUCAGCUAUAAAUACUUCCCCUUAGCACAGAAGACUUCACAGUUGCCUUCAGAACCACCACCCCAAAUUUUCCCUUCAGGUAAGACUCAAGAGAGCAGGUAUGUAUAUUCAGACUAUCCAAAAGUUUUGGGUGUUUUGUCUUUAUCAUCACUGUCAAACAUCGGAUAUAUUUUUACUCAGUUAAUCCUCUCUCUCAAUAACUCUAUAAAACAGGGUUUUACAGAUGAAGAAAUUGAGGCAUGAUGACGUUAGUUCAUUUUGGGAUUAAAUAGCUAUUGAGGGAGUUCCCGUCGUGGUGCAGCAGAAAUGAAUUUGACCAGGAACCAUGAGGUUGCAGGUUCAAUCCCUGGCCUCGCUUAGGGGGUUAAGGAUCCAACAUUGCCGUGAGCUGUAGUGUAGGUCGCAGACGCGGUUGCGAUCUGGUGUUGCUGUGGCUGUGGCGUAGGCCGGCAGCUAGAGCUCCAAUUAGACCUCCUAGCCUGAGAACUUCCAUAUCCGCAUUUGCAUCCUAAAAAAAAAAGACAAAAGACAAAAAAAGAAAAAUACUAUUGAGUGUCAGAGCCAAGGGUUUGAAAGAGUAUCUGCACAACUCAGAACAAUACUCCUCUUGGGGCAGUUUUUGGAAAUUAAGCACACUCUAGGUGGGUAGAAGUGGUGGGUUUAUUUCCUUCAGCAAGUUUUCACCAGGUUAGAGAGAUGGGACUGGCCAGAUGAGGUGAGGGGAGAAAGAUACUGCUUGUGUGAUUAGGAUUUAGGUUCCAGCCUGCAUUGUCUAUAAGGUACCAACUGAAAUUCUUUCGAUUUCCAACAUGCCAGGAGGCCAGGGGGACUCUCGGCCACUUCCACUCCGCCUGCACAGUUCGAUUUGUUCUAGAUGAGGGAGCCAUGCAGAGAGGGUCCAGAGAGAAAAGAUUGGAGUCGUGCCAGACAGUGGGCAUCUUUCUCCUCGGGGCCUUUCCUGGGAGCUGAAGCUGUGUGAAAAGAGAAGAUAGAUAGUAGCUGCCCAUGAGCUAAUGAGAAAAACAUCUCAAAGGGAUGCUUAGGUGUUGUAUGAGCAAGGCCCUCCUCCUCUGAACAUGAAAUUUCUCCAUUGGUGCUUAGAAAUUUCCCUUCAGCACAGAUUUGCUUAUUCUUGUCCAAUCCAUAGUUGUCUAUUGAUUCUUGUGCUAUAAACAGAAACAGUUGCCUAGGAGUGCUAUCAAUUGUGUGUUAGUUUCUGAAGGUAAAUGGUUGCAAAAGCCAACUGAGUAAACAUUACCCUUACUAGAUGCCUUAAGUCCCCUAUCUAUACAUGAUUUGGGGUAGACUGCCUUUACUUCUUAGUGUUUCAGAAGCACUGGAAAAGACUAAAUGAAGGUACAGAAGGGAUGCCUACUUGCAGAGGUCUGGAGAUUAGCUGAUUCUUUCCUUAAAGAUACUGGAGGGAUCUAGGCCUAUUUGGGGCCUAUUGGGUUGGAGGUGCCCCAAGACCUCUGGUUGGAGCUGUCCAGCACAGAGCUGUGAACAGGGGAUGCAGGCUUAGUUCAGAGCUGGGGAGAGAGAGCUGGACCACGCAGUAGGAAUCAGCCACCCCUGCAUGUAGAAGGGCCUAGACAAGAAUGAGAAGACAUGUCAUUUUCUGCUCAGUUCUGUGGUGAAGUCUUCCUGUAAACUCAUCUCUAGGGUGUGAAUGACCUCAUCAACAUCCUUCCGCCUCUGAGAGAAGAGCUGCUGGAGACUCCUGGAUGUCUGGCCCAAAGCUGGAGGCUCUGAAAGGGCUGAGAGAUGAUUUGGAAGAUACCAUUUGACUGCUUUUUACUGACGUGACCAUAUGUCUACCCGGAGAUUGGAGACCUUGGACAGCUGGAGAACCCAGACCAAUGAAGACAAGAGAGCUGCUCUUUGUGUGACGCAUUUCCUCACCCAGCCGCAGAUUGCAACAGAGGAGAUGAGAUAAAGAUGAGGAACCUCAACAGAAAGGAUGGAUGUAAACAGUGGGUUUGCUGUGCAGUGACAAGAGCCCAGCUUGGGAAGGGUGUUGAGUGGGGUGAAGAUGUCACAGGAACUCACGAAAGCCAGAGGAGUUCACAGUUCAGAGAAGCUUUUUGAGCUCCCAAGAGGAUGUAAAGGGCACAAGGUCACCUUUAUUGAACUGUUUUCCUGUUGGCCAUCCCUUCUGGGCCCCAAGUUCUGCAUUUGCAGCAUCUGGCACAGUGCUGGGCACAUCCUGAGCUUGAGAAAAGGAACCUGGGCAGGAGGAGAUAAGCCAAUAUAUCUGCCUGUUGAGCCUACAGUUAAAAAUAAUUAUAGAGAACAUGGUGAUGCUUCAGAAACUGUCAGGAUCUUUACUCUUUGUCCAGGAAGCCCUGAACUGUCAUUGGAAAUAAGAUGCCAGAACCACAGAUGUCCUUAGGCAGA